UGGGGAAUAUUGGACAAUGGGCGCAAGCCUGAUCCAGCCAUGCCGCGUGAGUGAAGAAGGCCUUCGGGUUGUAAAGCUCUUUUGUUGGGGAAGAAAAGCUUCUGGUUAAUACCCGGGAGUCCUGACGGUACCCAAAGAAUAAGCACCGGCUAACUUCGUGCCAGCAGCCGCGGUAAUACGAAGGGUGCAAGCGUUACUCGGAAUUACUGGGCGUAAAGCGUGCGUAGGUGGUUCGUUAAGUCUGAUGUGAAAGCCCUGGGCUCAACCUGGGAACUGCAUUGGAUACUGGCGAUCUGGAGUGCGGUAGAGGGUGGCGGAAUUCCCGGUGUAGCAGUGAAAUGCGUAGAUAUCGGGAGGAACAUCCGUGGCGAAGGCGGCCACCUGGACCAGCACUGACACUGAGGCACGAAAAGCGUGGGGAGCAAAACAGGAUUAGAUACCCUGGUAGUCCACGCCCUAAACGAUGCGAACUGGAUGUUGGUGCAACUUGGCACUCAGUAUCGAAGCUAACGCGUUAAGUUCGCCGCCUGGGAAGUACGGUCGCAAGACUGAAACUCAAAGGAA
rnacentral:rRNA from 1 species